GGAGACGAGCGUUAUCCGGAUUUACUGGCGUAAAGAGCGUGUAGGAGGCAAUACAAGUGGAUGUAAAAGCUCUCGGCUAAACUGAGAGAGGACGUUCAAGACUGUAGAGCUAGAGGAAGGCAGAGGUAGAUGGAACUCCGGGAGUAGUGGUGAAAUGCGUAGAUAUCCGGAAGAACACCAGAGGCGAAAGCGAUCUACUGGGCCUUAACAGACACUGAGACGCGAAAGCCAGGGUAGCAAACGGGAUUAGAGACCCCGGUAGUCCUGGCCGUAAACGAUGUAGACUAGGCGCUUGUCGGGCAAAACCGGUGAGUGUCGAAGCGAACGCGAUAAGUCUACCGCCUGGGGAGUACGGUCGCAAGAUUAAAACUCAAAGGAAUUGACGGGGGCCCGCACAAGCAGCGGAGCGUGUGGUUUAAUUCGAUGCUCCGCGAAGAACCUUACCUGGGUUUGACAUAACAGUGGUAGAGGAACGAAAGUGGACCGACCCUUCGGGGAGCUGUUACAGGUGUUGCAUGGCUGUCGUCAGCUCGUGUCGUGAGAUGUUCGGUUAAGUCCGCUAACGAGCGCAACCCGCGCUGUGUGUUACAGGUGUCACACAGUACCGCCGGUAUUAAGUCGGAGGAGGGUGCGGAUGACGUCAAGUCAGCAUGACCUUUAUAUCCAGGGCUACACACACGCUACAAUGGUCAGCACAAUGGGUUGCCAAGCCGCGAGGCGGAGCCAAUCCUAAAAAGCUGGCCUCAGUUCAGAUUGCAGUCUGCAACUCGACUGCAUGAAGUUGGAGUUGCUAGUAACCGCAGGUCAGCAAUACUGCGGUGAAUACGUUCCCGGGGAUUGUACACACCGCCCGUAAGGGCGA
rnacentral:rRNA from 1 species